rnacentral:lncRNA from 1 species
AGGGUUUGGGAAGUCUGUAUUAUAUUCGUACUUGUCUGUUGGUUAAUCUCAGUGUCUAGCGAUGAAUUUCUACUGUCUAGAAAUGAGUUUUAUUCUAACCAGAUUGGAGCCUGGCAUCUUGAUGCCCUUUCCUUUGCCUUGAUCCAUCCCAUAAGACAUCGAUAGAUUAUUCUCUGUUACUUUAUCUUUCAAUCCCUAUUGCUUUCAUCUGGCUGUUAAACUGGUUUGACAGUUACAUCUCCACAAGUCUGUUACGCCUUGAAAUGCCAGUACAACAGGCACUCCUAACUGCUUAGAGUCAUGUGUAAAGCUCAUAUUGGUAAUUAUAAAGGGGUGAGGUUGGGGAAAGGGUUGUAAGUGGUGGACAGAGAAGAGUUUCUCUAGGGGAAACUCAGAGCACCUGUUUUAGAUUUGUAUUUUCAAUUGCCUUUGGGAGACUCUCACUCUUGUUUUUGUUUUUUUUUCUUUUUUUUUCCCCCAGGGGAAAGAGAGCAAGCCUUGUUUCCUGUAGAGCAUUGUGGCUGGAGGUUGGGAGGUAUAAACCUCUUCUUGUGUGUCUGUGUGAUGAGCAAUAGUCUCUUGACCUGUUUACUGUAGAGCAUUUAAGAGUAUUUUCCUGUUCUUCUGCAGCCUUUGGGGGUCUACAAGAGCAGAAUUGUUUUCAGAGUAUGCUGUACCAAGAGUCCUGUUGAUCACAGUGGUCAUUGAGAUUCCUGCCAAGAUGAGAACAUAAUGAAAAAGCUGAGCACAGCUUCUGUGACUCAAGCUAAGAACAGAAAAUGGAGGAAAGAAUCAGGGAAGUGGAAACGAACCAAUGAUUUUAUUAAUUGGGUUGAGUUCCCAGCAGCUUUGAUCACAACACUUGUUACAUGAGGUAUUGUCUGGGUGCCUAAUGAUGCAAUUUGACUGCUUAGGAUGUGGCCGUGGGAGCCGGUGGAGAGAGUCCCUUCCAGCCUGUCUCUGCCCCAAAAGGUAGGCUUCCCUUCUCCAUGUGCUGGCAGCUACACAGAGCGUUAUAUUGCUGCCUUAAUGCAAGGGUUUAAAUGCAAUCUGUAAGUGCUUAAUGCCUUUCAUAAUCAGGUGGCUUUGGUACCUGUACUUAGGCUUUAGCAAUUUGACUCCAGGUAGACAGGUUUGGGGACUUUGGCUGUUUCUUUUGGAUUAUCCACCAUUACUCAUCUGAAUGUUUGCAAUUACUAUAAUCCUCUCAUUGUAUCGUGUUUUGCAUUGCCACAGCAACAAAUUCCAGCAUGACUGGAGUGAUAACAGCAAUAAACUGCCACAGAAUAACA